rnacentral:tRNA from 1 species
GCCAUGGUGGCUCAGUGGUUGAGCGCUGACCUCUGAACCAGGAGAUCAUGGUUCAAUUCCCAGUCAGGGCA